GUAGUCGUAGCUGAGUGGUUAAGGUGAUGGACUACAAAUCUUAUGGAAUCUUUCCGCGCAGGUUCGAUACCUGCCGACAUCG
rnacentral:tRNA from 1 species